CGAGGACGACGCUGGCGGCGUGCCUAACACAUGCAAGUCGAGCGAGGAGAUUCCUUCGGGAUGGUCCUAGCGGCGGACGGGUGAGUAACACGUGGGCAACCUGCCUCAUAGAGAGGAAUAGCCUUCCGAAAGGGAGAUUAAUACCUCAUAACAUUGCAGUUUCGCAUGGAACAGCAAUUAAAGGAGCAAUCCGCUAUGAGAUGGGCCCGCGGCGCAUUAGCUAGUUGGUGAGGUAACGGCUCACCAAGGCGACGAUGCGUAGCCGACCUGAGAGGGUGAUCGGCCACAUUGGGACUGAGACACGGCCCAGACUCCUACGGGAGGCAGCAGUGGGGAAUAUUGCACAAUGGGGGAAACCCUGAUGCCAGCAACGCCGCGUGAGUGAUGACGGCCUUCGGGUUGUAAAGCUCUGUCUUCAGGGACGAUAAUGACGGUACCUGAGGAGGAAGCCACGGCUAACUACGUGCCAGCCGCCGC
rnacentral:rRNA from 1 species